rnacentral:misc_RNA from 1 species
UGACAAGCCAAACCAAAACCUGCGGGUAGAAACAAUGAGCAUUGUUCUUCAUUUUAUCCAAAAGUUCCAGAAGCACAGGAGCCUCUCUGAAAGCAAGGAAGCCAGGAAGAUAUGGAAUGUGAAGCCUAACAAUAGACGAAUCUUCAUAAACAACUUUCUGAGUCGUCAAGUCCAACACAACAAGAGUGCCACAGGCAAUAGAUGAAUCAUCUUUUG